ACGUCAUUAACAAGCUAACCUACCAAUAGCCACAUUGUGUUGAUUCGCGACGUCUUUGUGGAGGAAUAAUGUACUCCUCGCUGUUGCUGCCUAGUUGUGGAUCGAGUAACGUUAGCUUAUCGGCCACUUCAAGCCCUAAGUGGAGUUUCCACUCCUGCUGUGGAAGGACAACACAUGCGUGCCAAAGAGAUAACGUUAACUGCUGCACCAAGGAACCCCCCACCAGGAGGAGUCUGAUUGCCUGUAGCUGUGUGCUGUAAACUCAUUAUCUUCUGCUUUAUGGAGAGGAUGAGGAACACUGAAGUUUGAAUGAGAAUAGCGCUGUAUUAAAUGCAUUUUCUUUUUAGUUUUAGACUGCUGA